AGAGCGAACGCUGGCGGCGUGCUUAACACAUGCAAGUCGAGCGCGCGCCUGUAGCAAUACAGGUGGCGCACGGCGCACGGGUGCGUAACACGUGGGUAAUCUGCCCUUCGAUGGGGAAUAACUCCGGGAAACCGAAGCUAAUUCCGCAUAACAUUCCUUGAACUUCGGUUUGGGGACUCAAAGCCGUAAGGCGUCGGAGGAGGAACCCGCGCACGAUUAGCUAGUUGGUAGGGUAACGGCCUACCAAGGCUUUGAUCGUUAGC
rnacentral:rRNA from 1 species